AACGCGUCUUUUACGGUCUGAUUUCGGACAGAAAGUGUGUCACAGAAAGUUAGCACAAAAUCCAACUAUCUCACGAUCGAUGGAUGUUAAAUGUUUUUGUUUUUUCGGUAAAAAGUUCGACGGCAGUGUUUGGCGAGCUAACGUUGCUAGCACGCUAGCUGUGUUUGGCUGCACCUGAGCGCAGGGCGGCGUUUUUUUAAUCCGUCCAUAAAUAGAUGCUUCUCUUGGAGUUGAAUACCGGACUUCUCAGCUAUGGAGGACAAGGACCAACUCUCCGGGUUCAAACUGCACCUCAGACUUUGGUUUUUUUUAUUUUGACUUUUUCCUUAGAUGUGAGCGUCUAAAGGCGGCGGGA